rnacentral:rRNA from 1 species
GGUGUGUCAUCGUUGAUAAAGUAAGGGAAAAGAAAUGAUAUUACCUUACUAUUAGUGUCGUCCAAGUACUCGUGCCAGAAGACUCGGUAAGGCGAGAGACGCAAACGUUAGUCGUCUUAAUCAGGCGUAAAGGGUUUGUAGGCAGCUUUAAGAAUUUAUUCUCUUUACCCUCUAGCCCUGCCCCUUAAAUAGGGUGGGGGAUAAUGUUAAAGUUAAAAGAAUAAGUCAAUUAAAGCUAGAAUCAAGUAGAGGUUAAUUAAAUAAUGUUUGAACAUAGGGUUGAUAUCUUUAGAAUUCAAAUGGAAUACUAACGGCGAAGGCUUUUUUCCAAUAAUGAUUGACGCUGAGAAACUAAGGUGAGGAAAGAAAAAAGGAUUAGAGACCCUCGUAUCCCUCACUGUCAACGAUGAAUGGUAGUUACUAGAAAAUAUGUUCUAGAGGCGAUGUUAACACGAAAACCAUUCCGCCUUGUGAGUACGACUGCAAAGUUGAAAACAAAAAAAUUAGUCGGUUUCGGAGCAAACGAAGUGAAGCAUGUUAUUUA